rnacentral:rRNA from 1 species
CCUACGGGAGGCAGCAGUAGGGAAUCUUCCACAAUGGGCGAAAGCCUGAUGGAGCAACGCCGCGUGAGUGAUGAAGGCCUUCGGGUUGUAAAACUCUGUCAUUCGGGACGAACCGGAGUCUGAGGAAAUGCAGACUCUCUGACGGUACCGGAGGAGGAAGCCCCGGCUAACUACGUGCCAGCAGCCGCGGUAAUACGUAGGGGGCAAGCGUUGUCCGGAUUCACUGGGCGUAAAGCGCGCGCAGGCGGUGAUGUAAGUCUGAGGUGAAAACCCGAAGCUCAACUUCGGGACUGCCUUGGAUACUGCGUCACUUGAGGAUAGGAGAGGCAAGGGGAAUUCCACGUGUAGCGGUGAAAUGCGUAGAGAUGUGGAGGAACACCUGUGGCGAAGGCGCCUUGCUGGCCUAUUUCUGACGCUGAGGCGCGAAAGCGUGGGGAGCAAACAGGAUUAGAUACCCUGGUAGUCCACGCUGUAAACGAUGAGUGCUAGGUGUAGGUGGGCUCAUACCCAUCUGUGCCGAAGCUAACGCAUUAAGCACUCCGCCUGGGGAGUACGGUCGCAAGACUGAAACUUAAUGAAUUGACCGGNNGAGAGNGCGAGGAGACACGAGGGAGAG